GGUAUGCACUGGCUUCGCUGAUUCCUCCUUUCUGAAGAACUGUGAUGCCAUUAAUUUGGUGUUGCAGGGAAACAGGACUGUUACUUUGAAAAAAUUAGAGUGUUUAAAGCAGGCUAACGCUUGAAUACAUUAGCAUGGAAUAAUGAAAUAGGACGUUUGAUCCUAUUUUGUUGGUUUCUAGGAUUGACGUAAUGAUUAAUAGGGAUAGUUGGGGGCAUUAGUAUUCAAUUGUCAGAGGUGAAAUUCUUGGAUUUAUUGAAGACUAACUACUACGAAAGCAUUUGCCAAGGAUGUUUUCAUUAAUCAAGAACGAAAGUUAGGGGAUCGAAGACGAUCAGAUACCGUCGUAGUCUUAACCAUAAACUAUGCCGACUAGGGAUCGGAUGAUGUUAAUUUUUUAAUGACUCAUUCG
rnacentral:rRNA from 1 species